UAACUCGUGAGUGGCAAGCGUUGUCCGGAAUUACUGGGCGUAAAGAGCACGUAGGCGGUUUGGUAAGCGGCGGGUGAAAUCCCAGGGCUCAACCCUGGAACUGCUCGCCGAACUGCCAGGCUAGAGUUCGGGAGAGGGCAGUGGAAUUCCUGGUGUAGCGGUGGAAUGCGUAUAUAUCAGGAGGAACACCCGUGGCGAAGGCUGCUGCCUGGAACGAUACUGACGCUGAGGUGCGAAAGCUAGGGGAGCGAACGGG
rnacentral:rRNA from 1 species